CUUAUUACUGCUGCAACUACCGAAAAACACACAUUGAUUGAUCACCUUUACAUAUCACAGCCAUACGCCUGCCUCCAAUCAGGUGUUCUAAAUACAUAUCACAGUUAUCACAACCCCAUUUAUUGUGUAAUUCACUAACACAAAAUGACUGCAAGGUUGUGAGGGAUAUGGACUUGCCAAGUGAUCUUAGUGUCUUUGCAACUGAGCACACUCUACCACCAAAAAGGACAGCUCACCAGUGGGAGCUGAUACAUAAGACUGCUCUCAUCCAUUGAAGAGCUGACCAGAAACGUGAACAGAGAGACUGCAACUGCACCUGAUGGGAUCCCUGCCAUAACAGAUGUGUUCUGUCCAGUAAAGGCAGUGGAGAAGCCCUACACUGAUCUUGAAACUGUGCCACGCUAGUAGAGACCGGCUACAAGGAUGGGCAGCUGUUUUCGCAAAGUCAGCCAACCACUUGCUUCCAAAUGACCCUUAUCCAGAAGUAUCCGUGAGUGCCUCAUAAACAGAAACUAACGUGGAGACCUACCUCUCAGAGAAAAACGCACACAUAAGAAAAGCCGACCCACUUCAGUACUGGGAAGAACAUCCUAAUCUGUUUCCCUCUAUGGCUGCUGUUGCGAUCCCAGUGUGCCCCCUGUAGCUCUGUGGACAGUUUUGGAUUUGUUUACAUCUCACCCAACCGGUCCCAGCAGAUGGCUGCACCUCUCUAAGCCUGGUUCUGCUGGAGGUUUCUUCCUGUUAAAAGGGAGUUUUUCUGAACACACUCUACCACCAACAAGGACAGCUCACCAGUGGGAACUGAUAGAUAAGACUGCUGAUGUGCUCUCAUCCAUUGAAGAGCUGACCAGAAACGUGAACAGAAAGACUGCACCUGAUGGGAUCCCUGCCAUAACAGAUGUGUUCUGUCCAGUAAAGGCAGUGGAGAAGCCCUACACUGAUCUUGAAACUGUGCCAUGCUAGUAGAGACCGGCUACAAGGAUGGGCAGCUGUUUUCGCAAAGUCAGCCAACCACUUGCUUCCAAAUGACCCUUAUCCAGAAGUAUACGUGAGUGCCUCAUCAACAGAAAAUAAAGUGGAGACCUACCUCUCAGAGAAAAACGCACACAUAAGAAAAGCCGACCCACUUCAGUACUGGGAAGAACAUCCUAAUCUGUUUCCCUGUAUGGCUGCUGUUGCGAUCCCAGUGUGCCCCCUGUAGCUCUGUGGACAGUUUUGGAUUUGUUUACAUCUCACCCCAACCGGUCGCGGCAGAUGGCCGCCCCUCCCUGAGCCUGGUUCUGCCGGAGGUUUCUUCCUGUCAAAAGGGAGUUUUUCCUUCCCACUGUCGCCAAAGUGCUUGCUCAUAGGGGGUCAUAUGAUUGUUGGGUUUAUCUAUAUACAUUAAUGCUUGUAUGCUUUUCAUUUAUACUUUUGCCUUACUUUUCAGUUCAUAAUAUAAAGUUACUUGAAUGGUUUCCUUUUCCUUUUUUAUUUUAUAUUGCUUUGCUAUUUACCACAAUCUAAAUAUCAUGUUUAAAUGUCAUACAUUAUUGUAAAUGGUAUCUGUACAAAAUAUUGUUUGAAUAACAUGAUACAUUUAUUAGUCCCACAAUGGGAAAUUUCAUAAUUUGCAUGUGGUAUUUUCCCCUUUGACAUUAAAAUACCUUUGAAA